AAUAAUUUUACGAGAGAUAAGCCAGCUAAUUUAUCUUCCUUUUGUUUCUUCUAAUUUAUCGAAUAUCUUACGUAAUCAUUUAUUUACAAAUUUUCACAUAAUGUCGAAACAAAUUAAUACUUGUUAUUCGUUUUAGAAUGAAAGGAGACAGAGAGAGAGGGAGAGAGAGAGAGAGAGAGAGAGAGAGAAAAGAGGAAGAAAGAGAAACGUCGUGCUAUCGCUGUUUACGUUUCUUACGGAUGCUGCUUCGCGCACACUCAUAUACAGGCUUCCCCCACCCUCAGCAGUAUACUCCCACCCUUUUAUUUAUCUUCCUCGGUUCGAUGUCGCCCCUCCAUCAUCCUCCCUCCAGUCUUUCACGAGCAGUGCUCCGAGUCAUAUCGUUGACAGUGUUCGCCAUAGCACACUCUCUUUCUUUCGUCACCUUUCUUUUUUCUUAUAUAUUUUUUUUUUCUUAUUUUAGUCAUUCAAUAAACUUUUUUUGACAUUCGUCAAAAACAUCUUAUUACAACAAAUGCGUCAUAUUAUAUCGUGAAAGAGAAAAGUGUUUUUCAUCGUCUCCUUUCAACGAUGGAAUAUAUAAAUCCAUCGCGAUCGUCGAACGAUAGUUACAACUAGUGUUAUUUUGUUCUCCUGUGGAGUUUUAUUGUGAAUUAUUGAAUAAUGUCGUGUCGCGAGAUUUAAUAUAUGAUUUCUCUUUUUUUGGUGCGAUAAUAUGUCGAGGGUCGUACGAUGACCUAACGUCCGUCCAGCGACAGCCUCUUCGUAUCGGUCAUUGGACAGAUGUUGAAUCUGAAUGCUCAAAACUUGGUUUGCAACAUUGGCAGCAUGGUUUUCGGCAGCAAUAAAUUUCGAAUACGAAGGAAAGAGUCUGCCUGUUGUUUUUAAAUACACCGACGAGCGAAGGUUAUGACAGCGAUAAAUUUCGAAUACAAAUGUAUGUACGUACUAAGAUUUCUACGAUCGUUGCAACUUGGAUAUGAAUAUUAAUUAUGAGUUUGUUGUGCGGUUUUAAAUAAACGAUUGGAUAUAAUAGAAUGGAUUAAAUUUAGUAAUAAUUAAAUUUUAUACUUAUUAUGAGGUUGUCGCCAUGAUGUUUUAAAAGUAAAAAAACAAAAAAAAAAAAAAGAAUAAGAAGAUCAAUAAAAGCGUAAUAUACUCGUUAGAGAAAAAGAAAAAAAAUAUUUUGCAGAAAAUAUUUUUUUACUUUUAUCCACAGUAUUGCAAAAACGUAUUUUAUAGUUUUUUCUUUUUUUAUUUGUACGAAAGAAGUAAUGAUGUAAUACCGACAAAUCCAUUAUUCAUAAGUGCGUUCGACGGGUAAUUUACUAUAUAUCUCGAAGGUAUUAUCCUUAUCACGAACGAUUUCGUUAGGUUUGUGGUAGUGCACGUAAGCGGGUUUCAGGUUUCAAGCACUUGCUUGGCUUUGGCGUCGUGCCUAAUCGAUACUGUCCGAUUUCCCCUUGACGACCAUCCACCGUAACAGUCGAAAAUUUUACAGUCCAGUUCUAUCGAUUCCGAGACUCGUUGUUUUUCGCAUAAAAUCUUUUAACUUUGUACUUGAAUCGAACGGAGAUCAACGAUCUCCCUGUCUUAAUUCAAUAAUAAUAUCUAAAGGAAAGAUUAUUUAUGAUCAUCGACAAUCGUCAUUUUUUACAUGUUCCAACAUGUGUAGUUACCUGGUUUAUAAAAUAUUUACAGAUAAACUAAGGAAUAUCUGUUAUCGCAAGAGCAUCGCUCGAAAGAAUAUUUAUUGGAGAAUGUUUGUUUCUUUGUUUACACAAAAUAAAUAGAUAAUUUUCGAUAUUAUCGGCUUAUCGGAAUCCAAUCGAUAAGCAAAAAUACUCUAGACGAUCGCUUGAGUAAGUUUCCAAUACACGUGAUUUUCUUUAAGUUUCAUCGAAAAAAAAAAGAGAAAAAAGAAAAAAGAAAAAAGAAAAAGGAACGAAAAAACAAUCUUGUAUGCUUUUAAGAAUUCUUCAUUUCUUCCACUAACACAUAUACAUUAACACACCCACGAAAGAUAUAAAACACGUGUCGGUUUACCCGAUCUAAGAACUAACCGAGCGAGCAAAGCCUGGGAACUAUUCGCUCGACACGACCGCAAGAAACAGAAAGAGCAGCUAAGCAAAGCGAUUGUAGCCAUCUUUGUCUCUCUCUCUCUCUCUGCCCCUCCAUCUUCUCUUUCUCACUCUUCGUUUUCCUUCUACGUCUCAGACCGUUCUCCGAUCGAUAUCCUUUUCAGCGCAAGGACGCCUUUAUUUAUCGAACAACGAUCGAGAUUCAUUGAGUUUAAGAGAACUCCCUCGAUCUUAAAUCUAAAACGUUUCGAACGGAACGAGAAUGAUUCGAUUCGAUUCGAUCCAAAGUUCGUUCGUCAAACAUUCGGUACAUUGAACCUAUUAAAUUGGAGUUUUUGAAUCGGCGCAACAACAGCAUUAUUCGUUUUCGCUUCACACGAGUCGAGAUCAUUUUUCGCGAGUACUCACGUAAUUCGCUCAUUCAUUUUUUGCUAUAUUUCGACUGAAAAAACAUUUGGCCGUUCUGUAUUCGCCAUCCUGUUAUCCUUAAUUGGAUAACACGUGGCGUAUAACUCGUAGCGUACUAAUUAUAUCGAAAUUAUAGCAAAAGCUAUCGGUAUGUUAUUAUACGAUUAACCGGCAAAUAAUUUAAGUACCUAGUACUGGUCGAUAUCUCGAAAGCAAAACUACGUCCGUUUUAUGGCAAAUCGGGUAUCAUGGCAAUCGUCGAUUCGAAAUAUCUCGAAACAUGCUUUCGAUCGUUUCUUUUUCAUAUAUUUUUUUCUUCUAUUCUUUCUUUUUUCUUCUCUUUUUUUUCUUUUUUUUUUGUUUUUCUUUUUUUUUCACUUCGGUCAAGAAAAUCUAGACGUACAUUUAAUAUUGGUUCGAGACCUUGCGAAGAAUAAAAAGAGAGAGAGAGAGAGAAUGCAAGAGAAAAAGAGAGAUAGAGAUAUAGAUA